UACAGAGGGUGCAAGCGUUAAUCGGAAUUACUGGGCGUAAAGCGUGCGUAGACGGUUACAUAAGUCGGAUGUGAAAGCCCCGGGCUCAACCUGGGAAUGGCAUUCGAGACUGCGUAGCUAGGGUGCGGAAGAGGGAAGCGGAAUUUCCGGUGUAGCAGUGAAAUGCGUAGAUAUCGUGAGGAACACCAGAGGCGAAGGCGGCUACCUGGACAAUUGCUGACGCUCAGGCACGAAAGCGUGGGGAGCAAAAGGG
rnacentral:rRNA from 1 species